AGUGAACGCUGGCGGUAGGCCUAACACAUGCAAGUCGAACGGCAGCACAGAGGAGCUUGCUCCUUGGGUGGCGAGUGGCGGACGGGUGAGGAAUACAUCGGAAUCUACUCUGUCGUGGGGGAUAACGUAGGGAAACUUACGCUAAUACCGCAUACGACCUACGGGUGAAAGCAGGGGACCUUCGGGCCUUGCGCGAUUGAAUGAGCCGAUGUCGGAUUAGCUAGUUGGCGGGGUAAAGGCCCACCAAGGCGACGAUCCGUAGCUGGUCUGAGAGGAUGAUCAGCCACACUGGAACUGAGACACGGUCCAGACUCCUACGGGAGGCAGCAGUGGGGAAUAUUGGACAAUGGGCGCAAGCCUGAUCCAGCCAUACCGCGUGGGUGAAGAAGGCCUUCGGGUUGUGAAGCCCUUUUGUUGGGAAAGAAAUCCAGCUGGCUAAUACCCGGUUGGGAUGACGGUACCCAAAGAAUAAGCACCGGCUAACUUUGUGCCAGCCGCCGCGGUAA
rnacentral:rRNA from 1 species